GUGGGGAAUAUUGCACAAUGGGGGGAAACCCUGAUGCAGUGACGCCGCGUGAGUGAAGAAGUAUUUCGGUACGUAAAGCUCUAUCAGCAAGGAAGAAAAUGACGGUACUUGACUAAGAAGCCCCGGCUAACUACGUGCCAGCAGCCGCGGUAAUACGAAGGGGGCAAGCGUUAUCCGGAUUUACUGGGUGUAAAGGGAGCGUAGACGGUAUGGUAAGUCAGAUGUGAAAGCCCGGGGCUCAACCCCGGGACUGCAUUUGAAACUAUCAGACUAGAGUGCAGGAGAGGUAAGUGGAAUUCCUAGUGUAGCGGUGAAAUGCGUAGAUAUUAGGAGGAACACCAGUGGCGAAGGCGGCUUACUGGACUGUAACUGACGUUGAGGCUCGAAAGCGUGGGGAGCAAACAGGAUUAGAUACCCGAGUGUCC
rnacentral:rRNA from 1 species